GCUGUUUUUAGUGAUGAAUGCAGGGAGUAGUGCUUUUUAAGUACAGCUUGCCUGAUCCUCAGCUGGUGAAAAUCAGUGUAGCUCUGUUCCAAGCUCUCCCCUGUCUUAGAGUCCUGCUGUGCCUAAGGGGAAUUCACCCCAGGCUAGGACAAAGAGAAUUCUCAGGUGCUCUUGUCCUCCAGAUUUAAGCCUGCUUUGCUGCAGGGGGAGUGAUGCAAACAGACUUACUGCACUGGAGAAUGGGGCCUGUAUUUUUAUGCAUCUAUACACAAGAGAUCAAGGCUGGGAGUUUGGAAAACCAGAAACAAGACAAUCUCCAAAGUAUCUACUUCAGGCUUUAUAAAAGACUUCUCCCGCAGCAGAUGAAAGCUUAAACUCUACAGAAACUGAAGGGACAACCAGCAUACAAAGGAGGGAUGCUGCUGUUCCAAGAUAUAAUGGCUGGAAUUUAUCAAUAACAUGACCGGGGUAACAAGUUGGUAAGAAGAUGGAUGCAAGUGGAUGUUUGGCACAGCAAGGGAAGGAGGGGAUGUGAGGAAACCAGGGGCUGAGUCCCCUCAUUCUCAGAGUGGAUCUGCAUCAACCAGGGCCUUGGCUAUUGACCUAGAGGCUAAACACUUCGAGCUGCGUGAUCUAUUGAAACGAGUCCACAACCCGGCCUGGUGGUUCUGAGGCCACGGCUCUCCCGUCUACAUAAUUAAACCACUCUCAACGAGUGUGUGUACGUGUGCUGUUCCUUAGAACGUCUCCCAGCCUGAGGCGGGAGCCCUGCCACUCACCGGUAACAGCUCAUUUUGAAGCCUGUUCUCUCCUCCACUGUGAACAUUGGACA